ACUUAGUGGCGGACGGGUGAGUAACGCGUGAGUAACCUGCCUUACAGAGGGGGAUAACGUUCUGAAAAGAACGCUAAUACCGCAUGAAAUAUAGAAGCCGCAUGGCUUCAAUAUCAAAGGAGCAAUCCGCUGUAAGAUGGACUCGCGUCCGAUUAGAUAGUUGGUGGGGUAACGGCUCACCAAGUCGACGAUCGGUAGCCGGACUGAGAGGUUGAACGGCCACAUUGGGACUGAGACACGGCCCAGACUCCUACGGGAGGCAGCAGUGAGGGAUAUUGGGCAAUGGGGGAAACCCUGACCCAGCAACGCCGCGUGAGGGAAGACGGUUUUCGGAUUGUAAACCUCUGUCCUCUGUGAAGAUAAUGACGGUAGCAGAGGAGGAAGCUCCGGCUAACUACGUGCCAGCAGCCGCGGUAAUACGUAGGGAGCAAGCGUUGUCCGGAUUUACUGGGUGUAAAGGGUGCGUAGGCGGCUAAGCAAGUCAGGCGUGAAAUCUAUGGGCUUAACCCAUAAACUGCGUUUGAAACUGUUUAGCUUGAGUGAUGUAGAGGUAGGCGGAAUUCCCGGUGUAGCGGUGGAAUGCGUAGAGAUCGGGAGGAACACCAGUGGCGAAGGCGGCCUACUGGGCAUUAACUGACGCUGAAGCACGAAAGCAUGGGUAGCAAACAGGAUUAGAUACCCUGGUAGUCCAUGCCGUAAACGAUGAUUACUAGGUGUGGGGGGGUCUGACCCCCUCCGUGCCGGAGUUAACACAAUAAGUAAUCCACCUGGGGAGUACGGCAUCUUUCUAGAAGAUCUCCUACAUAUCUACUCAGAAAAAAAGGGGGUUUUAUAAUAUAUAUAAAAAAAGAGGA
rnacentral:rRNA from 1 species